CGGGGUCUUUGCAGGUACUCCAAACCCUAUGUGAACGUGCGCAGUAGUUUGCACGAGUACUGCCAAAGCCGGAGUGAACGUGCGCCUCUUUUGUAUGUCCCCUCGCGAACUUUUAUAAUUCUGAACCAUCUCGGCGCCCCUAGCGGGCGUUUCCAAAAUGAAUCAAAACUUUCAACAACGGAUCUCUUGGUUCUGGCAUCGAUGAAGAACGCAGCGAAAUGCGAUAAGUAAUGUGAAUUGCAGAAUUCAGUGAAUCAUCGAAUCUUUGAACGCACAUUGCGCCCGCCAGUAUUCUGGCGGGCAUGCCUGUCCGAGCGUCAUUUCAACCCUCGAACCCCUCCGGGGGUACGGCGUUGGGGAUCGGCCCUUUACGGGGCCGGCCCCGAAAUACAGUGGCGGUCUCGCCGCAGCCUCUCCUGCGCAGUAGUUUGCACAAGUACUCCCAAACCCAAUGUGAACCUGCGCAGUAGUUUGCACAAGUACUCCCAAACCCAAUGUGAACCUGCCCAGUAGUUUGCACAAGUACUCCCAAACCGAAUGUGCUCGUGCGCAGUAAUU
rnacentral:rRNA from 1 species